AGUGAACGCUGGCGGUAGGCCUAACACAUGCAAGUCGAACGGCAGCACAGUAAGAGCUUGCUCUUACGGGUGGCGAGUGGCGGACGGGUGAGGAAUACAUCGGAAUCUACUUUUUCGUGGGGGGUAACGUAGGGAAACUUACGCUAAUACCGCAUACGACCUACGGGUGAAAGCAGGGGAUCUUCGGACCUUGCGCGAUUGAAUGAGCCGAUGUCGGAUUAGCUAGUUGGCGGGGUAAAGGCCCACCAAGGCGACGAUCCGUAGCUGGUCUGAGAGGUUGAUCAGCCACACUGGAACUGAGACACGGUCCAGACUCCUACGGGAGGCAGCAGUGGGGAAUAUUGGACAAUGGGCGCAAGCCUGAUCCAGCCAUACCGCGUGGGUGAAGAAGGCCUUCGGGUUGUAAAGCCCUUUUGUUGGGAGAGAAAAGCAGCAGGUUAAUACCCCGCUGUUCUGACGGUACCCAAAGAAUAAGCACCGGCUAACUUCGUG
rnacentral:rRNA from 1 species